rnacentral:rRNA from 1 species
AUUGAACGCUGGCGGCAUGCCUUACACAUGCAAGUCGAGCGCGAAAGGGGGCAACCCCGAGUAGAGCGGCGGACGGGUGAGUAACGCAUCGGAACGUGCCCAGUAGUGGGGGACAACCUCGAGAAAUCGAGGCUAAUACCGCAUACGACCCACGGGUGAAAGCGGGGGACCGCAAGGCCUCGCGCUAUUGGAGCGGCCGAUGUCCGAUUAGCUAGUUGGCGGGGUAAGAGCCCACCAAGGCGACGAUCGGUAGCUGGUCUGAGAGGACGACCAGCCACACUGGGACUGAGACACGGCCCAGACUCCUACGGGAGGCAGCAGUGGGGAAUUUUGGACAAUGGGGGCAACCCUGAUCCAGCCAUGCCGCGUGCGGGAAG